CCGGCUUCAUUCUUCUGAGAAGGUCCGCCGCCAUCGUCAGCCUUGUGUGUUCAUUCUUAAACGAUGCUGAAGCUACCAUCAAAGACUGAGAUCCCAAAGAGAUGGAGAUCACCCAUGAAGCUGCCCAUUGUCCGCUGAGACAGGACAGCAGGAGGAGGAAGGCACCAUGCUUACUCGGUGAGAUGACCACGGAGCCACGACUUUGUUUUCUUCUACCGGAUUCAACUUGUACUUCAACUUUACAUCCAGGUUUCGAGGGAAAUCCCCACUGCUCCUCCUUUGCCGUGUGGUGCUGCUUAGGGGUGACCACAUGGACUGGCAGGCUCCCCAAACCUUUAUAUACUAGUUUCCCCAGUGAGUCCUGAAAGCCAAGGCUGUCUCUGGUCACACUAGAAGAAAAAGGAGGAAAUAAAAUGGUUAUUGUGCAGUAA